rnacentral:rRNA from 1 species
GUCGAACGGAAAGGCCCGCUUGCGGGUACUCGAGUGGCGAACGGGUGAGUAACACGUGGGCAACCUGCCCUCAGCUUUGGGAUAACUCCCGGAAACGGGUGCUAAUACCGAAUAUUGACUUCUGGCCGCAUGGUUGGGGGUUGAAAGUUUUUCGGCUGAGGAUGGGCCCGCGGCCUAUCAGCUUGUUGGUGGGGUAAUGGCCUACCAAGGCGACGACGGGUAGCCGGCCUGAGAGGGCGACCGGCCACACUGGAACUGAGACACGGUCCAGACUCCUACGGGAGGCAGCAGUGGGGAAUAUUGCGCAAUGGGCGAAAGCCUGACGCAGCGACGCCGCGUGAGGGAUGACGGCCUUCGGGUUGUAAACCUCUUUCAGCAGGGACGAAGAGUGAUUGACGGUACCUGCAGAAGAAGCACCGGCCAACUACGUGCCAGCAGCCGCGGUAAUACGUAGGGUGCAAGCGUUGUCCGGAAUUAUUGGGCGUAAAGAGCUCGUAGGCGGUCUGUCGCGUCGAAUGUGAAAAUCCGGGGCUCAACUCCGGACCUGCAUUCGAUACGGGCAGACUAGAGUUCGGUAGGGGAGACUGGAAUUCCUGGUGUAGCGGUGAAAUGCGCAGAUAUCAGGAGGAACACCGGUGGCGAAGGCGGGUCUCUGGGCCGAUACUGACGCUGAGGAGCGAAAGCGUGGGGAGCGAACAGGAUUAGAUACCCUGGUAGUCCACGCCGUAAACGGUGGGCGCUAGGUGUGGGGGUCCUUCCACGACCUCUGUGCCGCAGCUAACGCAUUAAGCGCCCCGCCUGGGGAGUACGGCCGCAAG